GACGAACCGUACGAACGUUAUUCGGAAUCACUGGGCUUAAAGGGUGCGUAGGCGGCGCAGUAAGUUGGGUGUGAAAUCCCUCGCUUAACCGAGGAAUUGCGCCCAAAACUACUGUGCUCGAGGGAGGUAGAGGUGAGCGGAACUUAGGGUGGAGCGGUGAAAUGCGUUGAUAUCCUAAGGAACACCGGUGGCGAAAGCGGCUCACUGGACCUCUUCUGACGCUGAGGCACGAAAGCUAGGGUAGCAAACGGG
rnacentral:rRNA from 1 species